rnacentral:rRNA from 1 species
AUACGGAGGGGGUUAGCGUUGUUCGGAAUUACUGGGCGUAAAGCGUACGUAGGCGGAUCGGAAAGUAAGGGGUGAAAUCCCAGGGCUCAACCCUGGAACUGCCUCUUAAACUCCCGGUCUUGAGUUCGAGAGAGGUGAGUGGAAUUCCUAGUGUAGAGGUGAAAUUCGUAGAUAUUAGGAGGAACACCAGUGGCGAAGGCGGCUCACUGGCUCGAUACUGACGCUGAGGUACGAAAGUGUGGGGAGCAAACAGGAUUAGAUACCCUAGUAGUCC